GAUGAACGCUGGCGGCGUGCCUAAUACAUGCAAGUCGAGCGAACGGACGAGAAGCUUGCUUCUCUGAUGUUAGCGGCGGACGGGUGAGUAACACGUGGAUAACCUACCUAUAAGACUGGGAUAACUUCGGGAAACCGGAGCUAAUACCGGAUAAUAUUUUGAACCGCAUGGUUCAAAAGUGAAAGACGGUCUUGCUGUCACUUAUAGAUGGAUCCGCGCUGCAUUAGCUAGUUGGUAAGGUAACGGCUUACCAAGGCAACGAUGCAUAGCCGACCUGAGAGGGUGAUCGGCCACACUGGAACUGAGACACGGUCCAGACUCAUACGGGAGGCAGCAGUAGGGAAUCUUCCGCAAUGGGCGAAAGCCUGACGGAGCAACGCCGCGUGAGUGAUGAAGGUCUUCGGAUCGUAAAACUCUGUUAUUAGGGAAGAACAUAUGUGUAAGUAACUGUGCACAUCUUGACGGUACCUAAUCAGAAAGCCACGGCUAACUACGUG
rnacentral:rRNA from 1 species